rnacentral:tRNA from 1 species
GAGGGUGUAGCUCAGUGGUAGAGCUCCGGAUUGUGGCUCCGGCGGUCGUGGGUUCAAACCCCAUCACUCUCC